GACAGAGGGUGCAAACGUUGUUCGGAAUUACUGGGCGUAAAGCGCGUGUAGGCGGUUCGGUAAGUCCGCUGUGAAAGUCGGGGGCUCAACCCUCGGAUGCCGGUGGAUACUGUCGGACUAGAGUACGGAAGAGGCGAGUGGAAUUCCUGGUGUAGCGGUGAAAUGCGCAGAUAUCAGGAGGAACACCGAUUGCGAAGGCAGCUCGCUGGGACGUUACUGACGCUGAGACGCGAAAGCGUGGGGAGCAAACAGG
rnacentral:rRNA from 1 species